GUUUGUAUCAAAUCUUCCCCAGAUGUCAUAGAGGCUUUGUCCAACCCCAUUCGUUACGUCAACCUAUUGGAACAAAGGUCUAAACAGCUGGCAGCUCUUACAUUGGAGGACGGGGAGGAGACACAAACUGAGGAGGAAUCUGAACCAUGCACUGAGACUGACUUGAAGUCCGAUCAACUGGAAAAUGGGCUCAACAACGCUGCCGGUCCUGCAGGACACACCCCUGUCCCCACGAUGCCCAAAACUGCA